UACAGAGGGUGCGAGCGUUAAUCGGAAUUACUGGGCGUAAAGCGUGCGCAGGCGGCGCGUUAAGACAGGUGUGAAAGCCCCGAGCUUAACUUGGGAAUUGCGCUUGUGACUGGCGUGCUGGAGUGUGGCAGAGGGAGGUGGAAUUCCACGUGUAGCAGUGAAAUUCGUAGAUAUGGGGAGGAACACCGGUGGCGAAGGCGGCCACCUGGACGGUAACUGACGCUGAGACGCGAAAGCGUGGGGAGCAAACAGG
rnacentral:rRNA from 1 species